UACGGAGGAUGCAAGCGUUAUCCGGAAUGAUUGGGCGUAAAGCGUCCGCAGGUGGCAAUGUAAGUCUGCUGUCAAAGCGUCUGGCUCAACCAGAUAAAGGCAGUGGAAACUACAUAGCUAGAGUAAGGUAGGGGUAGAGGGAAUUCCUGGUGUAGCGGUGAAAUGCGUAGAUAUCGGGAGGAACACCAGUGGCGAAGGCGGCUACCUGGCCCACUCUUGACGCUGAGGCGCGAAAGCUAGGGGAGCAAACGGG
rnacentral:rRNA from 1 species